CUUCCGAUAGCUCAAUGGUGGAGCGCCGGUGUACUUUAUUCGAGUCAUGAGACAUGAUGCCGGAGACGUUGGUUCGAGUCUAAUUCGGAGGA